AUUGAACGCUGGCGGCAGGCCUAACACAUGCAAGUCGAGCGGAUGAAGGGAGCUUGCUCCUGGAUUCAGCGGCGGACGGGUGAGUAAUGCCUAGGAAUCUGCCUGGUAGUGGGGGAUAACGUCCGGAAACGGGCGCUAAUACCGCAUACGUCCUGAGGGAGAAAGUGGGGGAUCUUCGGACCUCACGCUCUCAGAUGCGCCUAGGUCGGAUUAGCUAGUUGGUGGGGUAAAGGCCUACCAAGGCGACGAUCCGUACCUGGUCUGAGAGGCUGAUCAGUCACACUGGAACUGAGACACGGUCCAGACUCCUACGGGAGGCAGCAGUGGGGAAUCUUAGGCAAUGGGCGAAAGCCUGAUCCAGCCAUGCCGCGUGUGUGAAGAAGGUCUUCGGAUUGUAAAGCACUUUAAGUUGGGAGGAAGAGAAGUGAGUUAAUACCUGGCUGUCUUGACGUUACCAACAGAAUAAGCACCGGCUAACUACGUG
rnacentral:rRNA from 1 species